rnacentral:rRNA from 1 species
GAGUGAUCCGGCAGAGGAUGGACAUGCGGCGCAUUAGCUAGUCGGCGGGGUAACGGCCCACCGAGGCUACGAUGCGUAGGGGUUCUGAGAGGAAGGUCCCCCACACUGGUACUGAGACACGGACCAGACUCCUACGGGAGGCAGCAGUGAGGAAUAUUGGUCAAUGGGCGGAAGCCUGAACCAGCCAAGUCGCGUGAGGGAAGACGGUCCUAUGGAUUGUAAACCUCUUUUGCAGGGGAGCAAGGCGCGGUACGUGUACCGCGAAGGAGAGUACCCUGAGAAAAAGCAUCGGCUAACUCCGUGCCAGCAGCCGCGGUAAUACGGAGGAUGCGAGCGUUAUCCGGAUUUAUUGGGUUUAAAGGGUGCGCAGGCGGACUGUUAAGUCAGCGGUAAAAUGUCGGUGCUCAACACCGGCCGGCCGUUGAAACUGGCAGCCUUGAGUGAGCGAGAAGUAUGCGGAAUGCGUGGUGUAGCGGUGAAAUGCAUAGAUAUCACGCAGAACUCCGAUUGCGAAGGCAGCAUACCGGCGCUCAACUGACGCUCAGGCACGAAAGCGUGGGUAUCGAACAGGCUUAGAUACCCUGGUAGUCCACGCAGUAAACGAUGAAUGCUCACUGUCCGGGCCGUUUAAGGCCUGG